rnacentral:lncRNA from 1 species
AGCCUAACAUCAACUGGGUGAAGAGCUAUAUGUUCCUUUCUCAAGAGGCACUACAAGUGACAUGCCACUGGGCAGGGGGCAGGUCUUUCCUGUGCUGUUCUUGUGAAAGUGAGUAAGUCUCAUGAGAUCUGAAGGCUUUGAAAAACAGGAAUCUCCCUGUACAAGCUCUCUCUUUGCCUGCUGCCAUCCAUGUAAGACGUGACUUGCUCCUUCUUGUCUUCUGCCAUAAUUGUGAGUCUUCCCCAGCCAUGUGGAACUGUCUUGGUUGGAGUCCAGGUAUCUGCAAAUUAAAUAAGCACUUGAAGUGAUAGUAUCUGAGUGUCCGUAGGCAAAUGUUAGGAGAACUGAAUCAGAUGUUCUUUGAAAGAUUUUCAUGGUUCUAAAAUGUUCUGAUUUAAAAUCCACAAAGAAAAAAAGCAUUGAAAAUGAAUCAGCAAACUAGAUGUAAUUAAAGCUUCUUGCAAUUCCAUUAAUAAACUUUUUAGAAUGAAUUACA